AGGAAAAGAAACCAACAGGGAUUGCCCUAGUAACGGCGAGUGAAGCGGCAACAGCUCAAAUUUGAAAUCUGGCGCAAGCCCGAGUUGUAAUUUGUAGAGGAUGCUUCUAGGUAGCGACCGGUCUAAGUUCCUUGGAACAGGACGUCAUAGAGGGUGAGAAUCCCGUAUGUGACCGGCCCGCACCUUCUACGUAGCUCCUUCGACGAGUCGAGUUGUUUGGGAAUGCAGCUCUAAAUGGGAGGUAAAUUUCUUCUAAAGCUAAAUACCGGCCAGAGACCGAUAGCGCACAAGUAGAGUGAUCGAAAGAUGAAAAGCACUUUGGAAAGAGAGUUAAAAAGCACGUGAAAUUGUUGAAAGGGAAGCGCUUACAACCAGACUUCUGGGCGGUGUUCCGCCGGUCUUCUGACCGGUCUACUCACCGUCCCGAGGCCAACAUCAUCUGGGACCGCCGGAUAAGACCUCAGGAAUGUAGCUCCCCUCGGGGAGUGUUAUAGCCUGUGGUGAUGCGGCGCGUCUCGGGUGAGGUCCGCGCUUCGGCAAGGAUGUUGGCGUAAUGGUUGUCAGCGGCCCGUCUUGAAACACGGACCAAGGAGUCUAACAUCUAUGCGAGUGUUCGGGUGUCAAACCCCUACGCGUAAUGAAAGUGAACGGAGGUGGGAAGGGUAACCUGCACCAUCGACCGAUCCUGAUGUCCUCGGAUGGAUUUGAGUAAGAGCAUAGCUGUUGGGACCCGAAAGAUGGUGAACUAUGCCUGAAUAGGGUGAAGCCAGAGGAAACUCUGGUGGAGGCUCGCAGCGGUUCUGACGUGCAAAUCGAUCGUCAAAUUUGGGUAUAGGGGCGAAAGACUAAUCGAACCAUCUAGUAGCU
rnacentral:rRNA from 1 species